GGACGAACGCUGGCGGCGUGCCUAAUACAUGCAAGUCGAACUAACUCUGGUAUUGAUUGGUGCUUGCAUCAUGAUUUACAUUUGAGUGAGUGGCGAACUGGUGAGUAACACGUGGGAAACCUGCCCAGAAGCGGGGGAUAACACCUGGAAACAGAUGCUAAUACCGCAUAACAACUUGGACCGCAUGGUCCGAGUUUGAAAGAUGGCUUCGGCUAUCACUUUUGGAUGGUCCCGCGGCGUAUUAGCUAGAUGGUGGGGUAACGGCUCACCAUGGCAAUGAUACGUAGCCGACCUGAGAGGGUAAUCGGCCACAUUGGGACUGAGACACGGCCCAAACUCCUACGGGAGGCAGCAGUAGGGAAUCUUCCACAAUGGACGAAAGUCUGAUGGAGCAACGCCGCGUGAGUGAAGAAGGGUUUCGGCUCGUAAAACUCUGUUGUUAAAGAAGAACAUAUCUGAGAGUAACUGUUCAGGUAUUGACGGUAUUUAACCAGAAAGCCACGGCUAACUACGUGCCAGCAGCCGCGGUAAUACGUAGGUGGCAAGCGUUGUCCGGAUUUAUUGGGCGUAAAGCGAGCGCAGGCGGUUUUUUAAGUCUGAUGUGAAAGCCUUCGGCUCAACCGAAGAAGUGCAUCGGAAACUGGGAAACUUGAGUGCAGAAGAGGACAGUGGAACUCCAUGUGUAGCGGUGAAAUGCGUAGAUAUAUGGAAGAACACCACUGGCGAAGGCGGCUGUCUGGUCUGUACCUGACGCUGAGGCUCGAAAGUAUGGGUAGCAAACAGGAUUAGAUACCCUGGUAGUCCAUACCGUAAACGAUGAAUGCUAAGUGUUGGAGGGUUUCCGCCCUUCAGUGCUGCAGCUAACGCAUUAAGCAUUCCGCCUGGGGAGUACGGCCGCAAGGCUGAAACUCAAAGGAAUUGACGGGGGCCCGCACAAGCGGUGGAGCAUGUGGUUUAAUUCGAAGCUACGCGAAGAACCUUACCAGGUCUUGACAUACUAUGCAAAUCUAAGAGAUUAGACGUUCCCUUCGGGGACAUGGAUACAGGUGGUGCAUGGUUGUCGUCAGCUCGUGUCGUGAGAUGUUGGGUUAAGUCCCGCAACGAGCGCAACCCUUAUUAUCAGUUGCCAGCAUUAAGUUGGGCACUCUGGUGAGACUGCCGGUGACAAACCGGAGGAAGGUGGGGAUGACGUCAAAUCAUCAUGCCCCUUAUGACCUGGGCUACACACGUGCUACAAUGGAUGGUACAACGAGUUGCGAACUCGCGAGAGUAAGCUAAUCUCUUAAAGCCAUUCUCAGUUCGGAUUGUAGGCUGCAACUCGCCUACAUGAAGUCGGAAUCGCUAGUAAUCGCGGAUCAGCAUGCCGCGGUGAAUACGUUCCCGGGCCUUGUACACACCGCCCGUCACACCAUGAGAGUUUGUAACACCCAAAGUCGGUGGGGUAACCUUUUAGGAACCAGCCGCCUAAGGUGGGAC
rnacentral:rRNA from 1 species